rnacentral:rRNA from 1 species
CCUAGAGAUGGAUUGGUGCCUUCGGGAACGUCUGACACAGGUGCUGCAUGGCUGUCGUCAGCUCGUGUCGUGAGAUGUUGGGUUAAGUCCCGUAACGAGCGCAACCCUUGUCCUUAGUUACCAGCACGUUAUGGUGGGCACUCUAAGGAGACUGCCGGUGGACAAACCGGAGGAAGGUGGGGAGUGACGUCAAGUCAUCAUGGCCCUUACGGCCUGGGCUACACACGUGCUGCAAUGGUCGGUACAAAGGGUUGCCAAGCCGCGAGGUGGAGCUAAUCCCAUAAAACCGAUCGUAGUCCGGAUCGCAGUCUGCAACUCGACUGCGUGAAGUCGGAAUCGCUAGUAAUCGUGAAUCAGAAUGUCACGGUGAAUACGUUCCCGGGCCUU